rnacentral:rRNA from 1 species
AACGGCCGCGGUAUUUUGACCGUGCAAAGGUAGCGCAAUCACUUGUCUUUUAAAUAGAGACCUGUAUGAAUGGCAUAACGAGGGCUUAACUGUCUCCUUUAUCCUAUCAAUGAAAUUGAUCUCCCCGUGCAGAAGCGGGGAUUAUAACAUAAGACGAGAAGACCCUAUGGAGCUUAAGCCGCAAGAACAGAACAUGUAACUUCUAAUAGUUAAAUAUAUGAAACCUAUUGUAAACCUGUUCAAGUGUCUUUGGUUGGGGCGACCACGGAGUACAAAAUAACCUCCACGAGGAACGAAGAUAACUCUUUCCAUCCAAGGGUUACAACCCUAAGAAACAGAAUUUCUGACCAUUAGAUCCGGCAGAGCCGAUCAACGAACCGAGUUACCCUAGGGAUAACAGCGCAAUCCUCUUUUAGAGUCCAUAUCGACAAGAGGGUUUACGACCUCGAUGUUGGAUCAGGACAUCCUAAU